AUUGAACGCUGGCGGCAUGCCUUACACAUGCAAGUCGAACGGCAGCACGGGGGCAACCCUGGUGGCGAGUGGCGAACGGGUGAGUAAUACAUCGGAACGUGCCCAGUAGUGGGGGAUAGCCCGGCGAAAGCCGGAUUAAUACCGCAUACGACCUACGGGUGAAAGCGGGGGAUCGCAAGACCUCGCGCUAUUGGAGCGGCCGAUGUCAGAUUAGGUUGUUGGUGGGGUAAGAGCCACCAAGCCGACGAUCUGUAGCUGGUCUGAGAGGACGACCAGCCACACUGGGACUGAGACACGGCCCAGACUCCUACGGGAGGCAGCAGUGGGGAAUUUUGGACAAUGGGCGCAAGCCUGAUCCAGCCAUGCCGCGUGCGG
rnacentral:rRNA from 1 species